GUGCAUUUUUAUAUGAUAAUAAUACGGACAGUAAACAAUGUGUCAAUGAUUUAAAAAGACAUUUGAUUCCAUCGUAGACUUCGUCUUAUUCACCAACUUAUCUCUUAUUAAAAAUUUUAUAUUUCGAUACCCACAUCCUUACUUUGUUUACCCAAUCAAAAAUUUACCUCACAUUUUUCGCGUUUUACUGUUCUUGUUUUACCGGAAUCACAAGGAGAACGAGGCAAGGUAAUUGGAAGAACAUUGGAAAGCGAUGAAAUAGGGAGCGAUGUAAUUCUCGCUAUGGCGGAUGUCUCAGUCGGUGCAGGCGACCUCAUUUGGUUGCAGGUCCAAAGUAGUUCGUAGGUCUGUUCAUUGAACAGGUGUAGGAUUUAGCAGCGACUCCCGUGGUCAGGUGUUGUUUGAUGAGGAGGCUGCAUGUAACUGUCGCAAUGACGAUUGCAACAACUUCAGCAUUUGUAGCUUCGUUUUCUUGGACUGUGAACUUUGAUAGACCAUGAAACCAUUGAUUCCAAGAUGAAGCUGCUGCAAUCCCAAGACUUUUCACAAAUAUAUAGCUUCUUUGUACUGAGGCAUGGGAAUUUACUGUAUUUUUUAAGUACAGAAUGAUUAUUUAUAUUUUUCUAUGAAUAGCUACCUCUGGAUAUGUCUAGUUUAUUUUCUUAUCCAGACGAGUGCGUGGUAAUUUUGGCUAAAAAUGUUCAACUCCUUCAGUGCCUUCUUGAGAGAUCCUCAAAGCAAAUCCGUUUUCUGUCUUGCAAAUAAUGCUCCUCUUCACAGUCCCCUUGAUGAAGACAUAGGAAGCUUCUGAGAUUAAUGAUUAUACUUACUAAUUUUCCUUUCUUCUUUGGAGGAAUCUGGAUGAGAAACUUAUAUGAUAAAGCAAUUUGUUUCUUACAAUUUGGUUUUAUGGCUGUCUUUUGAUGAUAGGGAGAACGCUUUAAUAUGACAAACUUGUACAAAACUGUACAUUGUAGAAAUUGAAGGAAGAAUUAAAAUGUUAGUUGAGAAAUAGCCAAAGCACACUCUCAAUCAAAGAGUCUGACCCAUAAUGCCGGGCCUUUGCAAUGUUUCGUAAUCUCAAUAAGACUGUAUACCUCACUCGUGGACCUUGUUUUUCAUUGUUGUCUUAAUUCAGUUCAAGCAAGAAGCGUGAUUUCCUUCUUUUGUAUGGUGGUCGGCGUGUUUUGUGUUCGCGCUGUACCUGUAAUAGUGGUGUUCCUUUUCCAUGGAAGGGAAAUUUAAAUUUUCAAUGCCUUAUUUAGGUAAAAUUUCCUGUUUAAAUUAUAUAGACAACUAAGAGAAUUCAAUAUUAGCAGUGUCCACGCAUCAUCAAGUGGACUUGGUUGCUGACCUGGAUUUCAUUUCUCUUGUAUAUACAUACACAUAUGUGUGUGUAUGUAAUUCUGUAUGAAAGAGAGUUGAUUAGAGGGGGGAAAUGUAAGAAAGAGGAUAUUUAUCUCUCUGAAAAUAAAGGAACAUGUUGUCUUGUAGCAUAUUUAGUCCUUGCAGAUUACGGCAUACGACCUGUUCAUGUGUCAAUAGAUGAUACUCGAAGUGGUAAUGUUUUGCUUGCAAUAUUGAGAGGGUUUCAGCAGCAAUGACAACAAGAUUGGUACAGAUACAUGAAAGCUGACAAUAUCGAAUGUAUCAGUAUGGCCUUGUUCUCAUGCACUUCUGCAAGCAGCUGCCCAUACUUGUAUCCGGUAAGUGUCUCAAAAUCUAUGCGAAUUGCAGCUCAUAUAUAUGGCUACCAGACUAUUUUGUGUUCAAAAAGA